GCGUUGGUGGUUCAGUGGUAGAAUACUCGCCUGCCACGCGGGUGACCCGGGUUCGAUUCCCGGCCGACACA
rnacentral:tRNA from 1 species